rnacentral:rRNA from 1 species
GAUGAACGCUGGCUACAGGCUUAACACAUGCAAGUCGAGGGGAAACGACGGGGAAGCUUGCUUCCCCGGGCGUCGACCGGCGCACGGGUGAGUAACGCGUAUCCAACCUGCCUCUGACUGAGGGAUAACCCGUCGAAAGUCGGCCUAAUACCUCAUGGCAUCGUCUGCGGGCAUCCAACGACGAUUAAAGAUUUCAUCGGUCAGGGAUGGGGAUGCGUUUGAUUAGCUUGGUGGCGGGGUAACGGCCCACCAAGGCUACGAUCAGUAGGGGUUCUGAGAGGAAGGUCCCCCACAUUGGAACUGAGACACGGUCCAAACUCCUACGGGAGGCAGCAGUGAGGAAUAUUGGUCAAUGGGCGGGAGCCUGAACCAGCCAAGUAGCGUGCAGGAUGACGGCCCUAUGGGUUGUAAACUGCUUUUAUGCGGGGAUAAAGUGAGGGACGUGUCCUUCAUUGCAGGUACCGCAUGAAUAAGGACCGGCUAAUUCCGUG